UCAUAACCGUCCUGAUUAUGAAUAAAGGUUUAUCCUUGUCACACGGCACCAAAUCCCGAUCGACUUUUCUGGAGAUCCUCAAAUUCACUACCAAUUUUCAAACAAAUACAAACAAAUGCCUGGAAAAUUCAAAGAUGAACUAGAUGGUAACUAAUUUUAUAAUUAAUCGAUUAACAAAAUCUUACAAAUAACAAAUGCUAAAUAUUAAAAACAAACAGUCCAAAGUAAAAAAAAAAA
rnacentral:lncRNA from 1 species